UCUGAAUCCUCUUCAGCACACUGAAGGGUCCCCUCGGCACCGGCGAUGUUGGUUUCUGGGUUUCGGCACCACUUGUCGCGCGCCCAAUGUCCCGCCAGCAAGAACGACGCGCGGCAACAGGAUUCUUCUGCUAGCAAGCCUUUACUGUGUUACAGCUCUUCUUAGUGUUACAGCUCUUCUCAGUGUUACAGCUCUUCUUAGUGUUACAGCUCUCUUGAACAGGGACCCCGAGCAGCAAAAUCGCUCGGCUUAUAUAGACAACAGUAUGCUAAUUAUCUCUCAGGGAUUGGUGGGGCUUGGAUCACCCCACUACUUGUCCUCCAGGGAUUGGCGGAGAAUGAAUCACCUCAUUAGCAUAUUAAGGGUCAACUAACACCUGGUGCAUAAACCGCACAUGUGCAGUACCGCUGUUCACCACUAGAGGGAGCCCUAGCAAGGGGACAAGCCUGCACAUGCGCAGUAAGUCGUUUAUAUCCAGACAAGGCUGGAUGUCGGCGCCAUCUUUGUUUCGCCGCGCCGCUCUCUACAGUACCGCAUUUUCUUUAUUCAUUGUUCAGCUGAGGGAUAUCUAGGAUGGUUCCCAUUUCUGGCUUUUAUGAAUAAAGCUGCUGUGAACAUAGUUGAGUAAGUAUCCUUGUGGGAUGGUGGAGCAUCUUUUGGUAUAUGCCCAGGAGUGGUUUUCUUAAGUUCUGUUUUCUGUCACACUUCCACCACCAUUUUGUGACUCUCUUUCAUCUAUCACAUGACU
rnacentral:lncRNA from 1 species